rnacentral:rRNA from 1 species
GUACACUCCUGCGGGAGGCAGCAGUGGGGAAUAUUGGACAAUGGGCGCAAGCCUGAUCCAGCCAUGCCGCGUGAGUGAUGAAGGCCCUAGGGUUGUAAAGCUCUUUCACCGGUGAAGAUAAUGACGGUAACCGGAGAAGAAGCCCCGGCUAACUUCGUGCCAGCAGCCGCGGUAAUACGAAGGGGGCUAGCGUUGUUCGGAUUUACUGGGCGUAAAGCGCACGUAGGCGGACUAUUAAGUCAGGGGUGAAAUCCCGGGGCUCAACCCCGGAACUGCCUUUGAUACUGGUAGUCUUGAGUUCGAGAGAGGUGAGUGGAAUUCCGAGUGUAGAGGUGAAAUUCGUAGAUAUUCGGAGGAACACCAGUGGCGAAGGCGGCUCACUGGCUCGAUACUGACGCUGAGGUGCGAAAGCGUGGGGAGCAAACAGGAUUAGAUACCCCGGUAGUCC